rnacentral:piRNA from 1 species
GUGUGGACCCAAAGCAGCUAGCGGU